ACAACUCUUAACCAAAGCAGCAGAGCGCUUGGAAAGGUCAUGCAAGUGAAUACAUGCAUCCUAUCACGCAAUAUGGAUGAAGACGGACCAGCUCAGUGUUUUCAGUACUUUCUAUUCCUUGUUCCAUCUUCACCUCUUACAACACAAGUUAUAACAAGGGUUGAAAACUACUUGGAGAACAUUGUUGGAAAAGUCACCUCAGAAAACAGCAGUGUCGGUGACAACAUCAGAUCACAUCCAUGACCCCUCUGCUCUGACUCCCUUCUCAAGUAAACCACUGAACAACAAAAACCAGUCUGAAGAGAGCAGGUCAGCAUUACUGUAAAGAACAUGGUCAUACUUGAUCCCAAUCCAAGCCCACAGAUGUUUUAUCCAUUUCUACAAGCCCUACUCUUUUUUAAGCCU